UUUUUUUGGGUUUUUGCUGCCUAUUUAUUUAGUCUCUGGCUGAUUCGAUGAAAAUGGAGAGGAGGUUUGUUUGCUCAAAGUAGGCCUGGGCGUUUUGUACUGGACCCGAAGCCCAUAGUGGAACCCGAACCGAACUAACAGUUGCGGAUCGGUAAUGGAUCCAUGAAAAAACCUAUUGAUAUUGUAACCCAAACAUUUUGGCUAUGGGCCGGCUGGUUAUACACCGAAGUCCGACCAAGUAAACCUAGAAUUUAUAUUCUUGUCUCAUGUGCACACAUUCAUGUACACAUAUACACAGAAAAUCUUCGGUUCCUGAACCCUAGUUCCCAAAAAAGCUCUCUCGAAUAUAGAUCAUCAUCAUUUUUUUCUUCAGCAGAGUAUUCGAGAAUCCAAUAAGAGCUGAUCAUAGGGUUCUUGUUGUUCAAUUUAUACAAGUGUGAGUUACAUGGUCAUCACAGUGCACUAUAUUAAUGAUGCUUCUUGGCGGUUGAAGAAGCUGAUCAUAGGGUUCAAACACAUCACAGAUCAAAUAGGUCAGACUAUAGCAAAUGGUCUACUAGAGUGUUUGUCUGACUGGGGAAUAGUGAAUGUUUUUUGCAUAACCGUUGAUAAUGCUACUGCCAAUAAUACUUCAGCUUUGAGGAAGUUUCAAAAUAAUUUUAUUUUAGGUUCGGAUCAGGCUUUUGUGUUAGAUGGGGAGUUUUUACACACAUGAGAUGUAGUGCCCAUAUCAUUAACUUGAUAGUUAGGGAUGUAAUGGUUGAAAUAGAUCAAAAUGUGGUUGCUGUCCGCAAUGUUAUCUCCUAUGUUAGAUCACAUACUAACAUGUUGAGAUCUUUUGAGCUAAAAGUUCACUCCGGUAAUGUUACAAGGGGAAGUGUGCCGUUAGAUGUCAAGACAAGGUGCAAUUCAACCUAUCUAAUGUUGACAACAGCUCAGAAGUUCAAGGUGGCUUUCGAUAAGUUGAUGGAAGAAGAAGACAAUGGAGAAAAAGGGUAGGACUCCUCAGCUAAGGGUCUGGAAUGCUAUUGAGAAGUUAUGCCAAUUUCUUAUCAUAUUUUACAACUCGACACUGGUUGUCUCGGCUUCAACUUCACUCAAUUCACACAAGUGCUAUGGUGAGAUAAUAACCAUUGCAACUAAUCUGGUAGAACUCUCCAGCAGCUCUGAUUCUGAUAUGAGGUCUAAGGCGAAAGAAAUUCUCAAGAAGAUUGAGAAGUAUUGGGAUGGCGUGAAGAAUAUUAACAUGAUGUUAAUUGUGGCCACUGUUUUCGAACCCAUCAACAAGUUAGAGAUUGCAAAGAUGUGUUUCGAAGAGUUAUAUGGGCUAGAGAGUACUGAGUAUAAGGAGAUGUAAAAUUUGGUGUGUGUAUUGAGGAGUUUGUUCAGAGAGUACAGUUCAAGACAUGGAGACGUGUUUCCUCCAAGUGAACAAUUAUCUCAGUCUAACAACUCAAGUCAGUUUAGAGACCAAUGUAUUGAAAGGAUGGAGCUUGUGGACGACUGUGUGGUUUACAAAAUGAUGGAUGUUAGGUACAAGCAGAAGCUAAACAAAAUAGGGGUUACAGAGAAGAAGGAUGAGCUGGAAACAUAUCUUAAAGAAUUUGUGGAACACCCUGACCUAAUGGUUGGAACGGAGUAUGAUGUACUCUCAUCGUGGAGAAAGAACUUAGCUAAGUAUCCUAUCUUGUCUGAGAUUGCUCGGGAUGUUACAAAUCUCGUCAGUUUCUUCAGAGAGUGCCUUUAGUACAUCUGGUCGGCUUCUAGAACCACGCAGGAGCUGUCUAAUCCAUUACAUGGUGGAGGUUUUAAUGUGCACAUAGCAGUGGAUGAAGCAAGACCUGAAGAUGGAGUCAAGAGUGCUUUCAAAUCAGCAAAUUCUAACUUAUCUUGAAGAAGUGGACAUGCUUGAAAGAGAUAAUAUCCUAUAAUUUCAAUCUUCUUUUCUUAUAAUAUGAAUGAUAAGUUUUUAGUAGUCAGGUUUGAAAUUUAUUUUUCAGAGUAUGGGACACAGUAGUUUCAGAAGAAAACUAAGCAGUUUGUUAUUGCUUAAGAAGAAGAUCAUGGCUUGGAGUCCGUUGCAGUUUAUGUUUUUUGUUUCCAAUUUGAACACUUUAUUUCUUUGUUUCGGCUCCAAUGUUGGUUUUAAGUUUAGACACAAGUUAUCUUGUUUUUUUGUAUCUAAAAUUUGUGUUUUCUUUUGGUUUUGUGGUGUUUAAACUCAUGUUUGUUUCAAUGUUAUUUUCGGAUUUUUGCUUAAUUUCAGUUUAGUUUGGUUGUUUUCGGUUUCUUUGGUUAUAUAUCAUUACAUUUGGUUGUUAAAUUCCAAAACCGGACCGGUCCCAAAGUCUUUUCAGAUUUAGCCGGAUUUUGUUUGCCUCACCCGAACCGGUCCGAAACCGGUUGAUUCCGAACUGAUACCAUACCGGAAUUUUGAAAAAAAAAAAUGAAUGGUACUUGUACACUGACAUCCCGAAAAUAUGAACACCCGAUUCAACCGAACCGAAACCGAUCGGUGAACCGAACGCUCAGGCCUAGCUCAAAGGAAGGUUUUCAGUUGAAUUACUGAACCUGAUGCACUUCUUUCCUUCACGUUUAGAGAACUGAUAUAGGAAAAUGGGUUCUUCAGUCUUCACCAUAUCCAAAAAGAGCAUAACCAUGAGCCCAUGACCUUGGAGGUGAAGCUCACGUUGAGGAGAUAACAACUCCACCCCCGCGAGAACUCUUGUUUAUUGAUUCAGUUAGACCAUCUCCAACCUUAUUUUAUUUUUCAUUUUUUGCUUCAUUUUAAAGUAAUUUUUACUCUAAUCCCACUUUACUUCUUGAUUCAAAAUGAAGUAGUGAAUAGUAUUA